CUCAGGAUGAACGCUGGCGGCGUGCCUAAUACAUGCAAGUCGAACGCUUUGUGGUUCAACUGAUUUGAAGAGCUUGCUCAGAUAUGACGAUGGACAUUGCAAAGAGUGGCGAACGGGUGAGUAACACGUGGGAAACCUACCUCUUAGCAGGGGAUAACAUUUGGAAACAGAUGCUAAUACCGUAUAACAAUAGCAACCGCAUGGUUGCUACUUAAAAGAUGGUUCUGCUAUCACUAAGAGAUGGUCCCGCGGUGCAUUAGUUAGUUGGUGAGGUAAUGGCUCACCAAGACGAUGAUGCAUAGCCGAGUUGAGAGACUGAUCGGCCACAAUGGGACUGAGACACGGCCCAUACUCCUACGGGAGGCAGCAGUAGGGAAUCUUCCACAAUGGGCGAAAGCCUGAUGGAGCAACGCCGCGUGUGUGAUGAAGGGUUUCGGCUCGUAAAACACUGUUGUAAGAGAAGAAUGACAUUGAGAGUAACUGUUCAAUGUGUGACGGUAUCUUACCAGAAAGGAACGGCUAAAUACGUGCCAGCAGCCGCGGUAAUACGUAUGUUCCAAGCGUUAUCCGGAUUUAUUGGGCGUAAAGCGAGCGCAGACGGUUAUUUAAGUCUGAAGUGAAAGCCCUCAGCUCAACUGAGGAAUUGCUUUGGAAACUGGAUGACUUGAGUGCAGUAGAGGAAAGUGGAACUCCAUGUGUAGCGGUGAAAUGCGUAGAUAUAUGGAAGAACACCAGUGGCGAAGGCGGCUUUCUGGACUGUAACUGACGUUGAGGCUCGAAAGUGUGGGUAGCAAACAGGAUUAGAUACCCUGGUAGUCCACACCGUAAACGAUGAGUGCUAGGUGUUUGAGGGUUUCCGCCCUUAAGUGCCGCAGCUAACGCAUUAAGCACUCCGCCUGGG
rnacentral:rRNA from 1 species